rnacentral:rRNA from 1 species
UGGGGAAUAUUGGACAAUGGGCGCAAGCCUGAUCCAGCCAUGCCGCGUGGAUGAUGAAGGCCCUAGGGUUGUAAAGUCCUUUCGGCGGGGAAGCGGUACCCGCAGAAGAAGCCCCGGCUAACUUCGUGCCAGCAGCCGCGGUAAUACGAAGGGGGCUAGCGUUGCUCGGAAUCACUGGGCGUAAAGCGCACGUAGGCGGCUUCUUAAGUCAGGGGUGAAAUCCUGGAGCUCAACUCCAGAACUGCCUUUGAUACUGAGGAGCUUGAGUUCGGGAGAGGUGAGUGGAACUGCGAGUGUAGAGGUGAAAUUCGUAGAUAUUCGCAAGAACACCAGUGGCGAAGGCGGCUCACUGGCCCGAUACUGACGCUGAGGUGCGAAAGCGUGGGGAGCAAACAGGAUUAGAUACCCUUGUAGU